UCCGUCAAAUGUAUACGUACAUCCUGGUCCUGUAGAGCAUGAUGUAUUAAAAAUUCAAGUUCAUCAUCGUUCCGAAGGAAUUUGGAAUGGUAGCAUAAAAGAAGAGAGGUCUUGCUUAUAUACGCGUUGUGGUGAUAUUGAAUUUUGGCAACAUAUAAAAUAUCAUCUAUUACAUUCUCGCAUCCUUCAAUAUUUUGAAAAUUGUAGAUUUAAAGGAAUUCUUGAUGUAGGAUGUGUGUCGUAUGACUCCCGAUUAAUUUCUGCUUUAAUUGAAACGUGGCGUCCAGAAACUCAUACUUUUCACAUGCGAACUGGCGAGACUACCAUAACUUAACAAGAUAUUGAAAUUUUAUUCGGAAUGGUAGUAGAUGGUAGUCCUAUAAUUUUAAAUAGAUCUGAUUCUUUAGGGAUUAUAGGUAGACAAGAAAUGAUAUUUGAAUUAACAGGAUGGUUACCCGAUACUAGUUGUUUUUCUGGUGUUAGUAGAUUGUUAACAUAUAAAAUGAUUGAGUAUAUCGAAGGUUUGGAUGGUAUUAAUGAUAACUCAACUGAGCAUGAAGUUCAACAAAGAUUUAGAUUAUAUUUAUUAUGGUUAUGUGGUGGAUCAAUAUUUCCGGAUAAAUCUAAUAAUAAGAUUAAUUUGGACAUUUUAAUUGAUAUGAGAAAUUUAGAUUUAAUGUCAACUCAAGCAUGGGGAUCAGCCGCAUUAUCAUAUUUGUAUAAUUGUUUAUGCCGUGCGUCAAUGAAAAAAUCAAAUGAAGUUUGUGGAUUUCUCUCUUUAGUGCAGGUAUACAUAUUUUUUAAUUAAAUAUUUUUUAUAUACUAGUAAUAUGCACUUUUAAAUUUAAGUGCAUUAUAAGUAAUGGUGAAUUUAUUUAUUGUAGAUUUGGGCAUGGGAAAGAAUCCCUGCAACCAUUGCCAAAGCCUCUAAGAACCAAUCAACUUGAGGCAAUUGCGCUUGCACGUAAAUGGAUGCAACGUAGAAAUCAUCAAAAUGAGGCACGAACUGUAAUCGGUGUGAUUAGGGAUGUACUAGAUAAUCUAACUGAUGAACAGUUUAUUUGGCAGCCUUAUUCGGAAGAUGUUAUUAAUGGAUUGCCUGAGUGGUGUCGGUCACGACAACGUGUCUGGAUGACACAGGUGCCACUGAUUUAUGGAAGAUGAAUUUUUCGAAUGUAACUGUGUCAGAUGAUUCAAAAUUUAAUGCUAAGGCUUCACAAAAUUUAGUUCUUAAUAGACAAAAUCCACCUCGGAGAACAUCUAGGCUACACAAAUCAACUAGAUGUGGAACAGACAGUCACUAUCAAAAUGAGGAAGAUUUUGAAAAUGAAGAUGAAAAUGAAGAU